UGCAUUAACUACUGUAAGUUGCUCUGGAUAAGAGCGUCUGCUAAAUUACUAAAA
rfam:Salmo salar isolate Sally breed double haploid chromosome ssa17, whole genome shotgun sequence.